AGUACUGUAACAGAGAAAUUAAUUAAAUUGAUUGAUUGUUGUUUGCUUUACGUCCAGUAGCAAAUAUUUCAUGCCUGUUAAUGACUAUAACACAUAAAUUUUAAAUACAAUAGGUACAUGUAGGUCGUACAAAAGGAGGUCGACAGUGAGGUUGGACGUGAAACUUUAAAAUACCACUAGAAAAUGAGGGUAUAUUGAAUAAGGACAGAAAUUAAGACUUGAAACAGCAGGCAAUAUUUGGACCACUCAAAUAAUAGGUGCAAGAGUUUUUAAUUUGAUCCAUAAAAUCUACCCUGAAGUCGAUCAUCCAUGUUUACGUGUAGUUUACAAUAUCAUUUCACGCAUCCAAUGAAGG
rnacentral:lncRNA from 1 species